rnacentral:misc_RNA from 1 species
GAUGAAGAACGUAGCGAAAUGCGAUAAGUAAUGUGAAUUGCAGAAUUCAGUGAAUCAUCGAAUCUUUGAACGCACCUUGCGCUCCUUGGUAUUCCGAGGAGCAUGCCUGUUUGAGUGUCAUGAAAUUCUCAACCUUUUCAGCUUUCUUUGUUGAUCAGGCUUGGAUGUGGGAGUAUGCGGGCUUCUCAGAAGUCGGCUCUCCUGAAAUGCAUUAGCGGGACCUUUGUUGCCUGGCUUUGGUGUGAUAAUUAUCUACGCCAUUGUGGUCAAGCAGCUUAAAAUGAGGUUUCAGCUUCUAACCGUCUCCCCUGAGACAACUUUUUGACAAUUUGACCUCAAAUCAGGUAGGACUACCCGCUGAACUUAAGCAUACCAAUAAGCGGAGGA